CCUACGGGGGGCAGCAGUGAGGAAUAUUGGUCAAUGGUCGGGAGACUGAACCAGCCAAGCCGCGUGCGGGAUGAAGGUACAGAGUAUCGUAAACCUCUUUUGUCAGGGAACAAAGGCGGGGACGUGUCCCCGGCUGAGUGUACCUGAAGAAAAAGCAUCGGCUAACUCCGUGCCAGCAGCCGCGGUAAUACGGAGGAUGCGAGCGUUAUCCGGUUUUAUUGGGUUUAAAGGGUGCGCAGGCGGUCUGUUAAGUCAGCGGGAAAACCCCGGGGCUCAACCCCGGCCCGCCGUUGAAACUGGCAGUCUCGAGUUGGAGAGAGGUAUGCGGAAUGCGCGGUGUAGCGGUGAAAUGCAUAGAUAUCGCGCAGAACUCCGAUUGCGAAGGCAGCAUGCCGGCUCCACACUGACGCUGAGGCACGAAAGCGUGGGUAUCGAACAGGAUUAGAUACCCUGGUAGUC
rnacentral:rRNA from 1 species